AUCACCCGUCUCCUACCGUCGUCCCUCUUCUCUCUCUCCCUCUCUCGCCUCCGCGUAUCAGUUUUUUUUCUUCUCUUCUCAUCUCAGUUCUCACCCGCCGACGUGUCCGCUGGUUUUUUCCGGAUCUGACCCGUAUCCCGUGUCGGAACGUGUCGACUCGGGUACUGCACCCCAAUUGCCGAGCCCGGGUAACGAAGUUGUCGUAUGCAGAGUAGUAGUACUUCUAUCAUGUCAGAGAUGCCGAGAAAUUCAGAUGGUUCGAGUGAGCAAUGUAAAGCUGGACCUGAUUUCUUCAGCUUCUAUGCUUGUCAGAUAGCUGACCUGUUGUCAGAAGAUAAAAAUACUCUGUCCAAUUCCAAUGCAUCUGAGUUGUCUCAAGGGAAGUAUGUGGUGGUCAAUGAUAAAGAGUCUAUGGAUUGCAGUCCUAAAGAUGUUGAUUCACUUUUUGAAAACAGCAUUGGUGCUGAGCUUUCAGAUUUCAAGAAAGGAAGAUUGAAAGGAUUACUUAGGCAAAGUGUGAAUGAUCUCUCAAUGGAAGUUGACGAGAUGUUAGAUCCUGUUGUGUCUAUGUCUGAGUUACGUUAUAAGAUCAGAAGCAAUAGUUUGGUGACUUCACCUUUAGAUGGAGAUGCAGCCCAAGUUGCCAGUAAGAAACCUAAAUUAUUAUCUUCCUGCUCACCGACCAGCAUCACUGGAAAUUCUCAUCCCAUCAAAUCUGGAUCUUGCAAAGAGGUGGAAGAUGAUUUGGAGUUCCUUCUAAAGAAUGAUAACCAGCUGCUGGUAGAGGAAACAAUGAAAAAAUAUUCUGAUGAACUAUCCUCAACGCUGGUGCAUAUGGAGCAGAAGCUUGAAGAAACUUUAGAUGCUAUAAUGUCCAAGUGUAGGCCUAUGACUCGUACUGAGAAGCGGCAGCUUCAGAAAUUGAUACAACAGCUACCCAAGGAAAAUCUUGUCCGUGUUGUUGAAAUUAUCCAACGUGGUAGGCCAGCUGAAAAGCCUUGUGAAGAAAUCUUUGUUGAUCUGGAAAAAGAGGAAAAUGUGACGCUUUGGAGAUUAUAUUACUAUGUUGAAGCAGUCGAGAAAGCCAAAAUGCUUGCGCAAUUGCAAUGUAGCACAACCCCAACAUCAUAGCCAUUCUUCUGAGACCACUACAGCAGUUCUGCAUGGCCUUCUAUCGAGACCAUUAUAUGACUGUCGCUUAAAGUUGCUCAACGAAUAUUCAUGGUCAUCAUUAAGAUUCUUUGCAGAUUGCUGGCGGUCCUAGUAACUUGAUCUUUUUGUCUUCGAGUUUGUUAACAAAUGGCAGGAUUUACGCCGUGGAGUGCGACCUUGGUAAUUUUGGACAAGGAUCGUAUGACGCAAAAAAGAAUUAUUACACCAGUAAAAAAAAAAAAAACCUUCAACCAAUGCAAGGUUUUUUUUUUUUUUUUCUUUCAAGGAGCUCUAAGUUCCAACUUAAAACGGUAAAUAAUUGAUGCAGUUAAAGCUCAAAUGUAGAUUGCAGUAUCUACUUAACUUCUUUUUCAAUCAUAUACAGGUUUGAAGUUCUUGUAAGCUAUGACAGCAUAAAAGGGGUCUGAACCCGAAAAUAACCCAAGCCACUUCAUGAACCAACUAAACGGCGACUUGUCAUCUUGAGAAUUACCAGCACUCGGUAAUUCCCGGAUCACUUCCGGCUGUGUGAACCCUUCAAUACACUGGAAAUACUGAAGAACAAGUUGUACUCUACUAUAUGCAGUUCCAUCUCUCCAGGCAUUGAUUGCUUUCUCAUAGAAAAGCCUAUUGCUGAAGCUCACAAUGAACACGCCUCCUGGCCUAAGCACCCGAAAAACUUCUGCAAAAGCCUAUAACAAGCAAUCGUUGAUUCAUGAUCUCAUUGAUUCCUAUACAACUUCAUAUUCAUACAGGUUACCUUCUCAGGUUGCUGAAGAUACUGUACACUGACCGUGCAUAGCACAGCAUCGAAACUUGAGUCUUCAAUCUCGAGCUUCUGGUCAUGGUUUAGAUCCUUGACAAAGAAGUAAUCCAUCCUAGAAUUCCUGGCAAGCUCCUGAGCAUUAAGUCCAUGCCCUACCACUCUUUUGUAAACGACUUCAUUUGGUAGAUGGCUAAUCCAUGAACUCAUGAGGUCAAGAAUCUCUGAGCCAGGCUUUAGCCUCUCCCUGUACAAAUCUGUUAGUGUGGCAAUGAAUCCAUCAUCAACAUGAGUUACAAA